UACCCAGGAGCUUAAUUAAAUAUGAUCAAGA
rnacentral:piRNA from 1 species